AUUUAAUUUUGCUUAUUUCUCUUUUAGGCCUUUGAAUUAGCAACAGGAGACUAUCUGUUUGAGCCUCAUUCUGGGGAAGACUACUCACGAGAUGAAGAUCACAUUGCUCUGAUCAUAGAACUUCUGGGGAAAAUACCUCGCAAGCUCAUUUUGGCAGGAAAGUAUUCCAAGGAGUUUUUCACCAAAAAAGGUGAUCUGAAGCACAUCACUAAACUGAAGCCCUGGGGCCUUUUCGAAGUCUUGGUGGAAAAAUACGAAUGGUCCCAGGAUGAGGCAGCUGCAUUCACAGACUUCUUACUACCGAUGUUGGAGCUGAUCCCAGAGAAGCGAGCCACAGCAGCAGAAUGUCUCAGGCACCCCUGGCUUCUCUCUUAGGGGCUUCAACCCAGUGCCACUGUGCUGCACUCUGGUUUACAGUAUAGGAUACACACACCCAGCUGCCCCUUCCCAGAUCUGUUUUUUUUCCUUGUUCAGUUUGAGCGUGAAGUUCUUCCUUCAAGGCUUCCAAGAUUUUAGAUAAAUCUAACCCAUUCUGCUGAGUUUGCUGGUGUGACUCAGUGGGGACUCUCCUUAUCCAGUGCGCGUCAUCUUUGUUUUGCCUUGAUUGGGCUUCACCAAAGACUAAUUGACUAAAACAUCAACUUUUCCCUGAGUCGUCUUGUAUGGUAUGCACUGUGUUAUGGAUGUAUGCUCCCUUAACUAAAUCUCAACUCUCCUUUCAUCAUAAGGAGGAUGUGAAGAUCUGAACUCAUCUCACUGACUCAGGAGUCAAUUUCCCACUGUUGGUCCAGUAGCUAGCAAUGGGGUGAGAAGUAACAGAUGGCACCGUGGUGGUGUUAGUUCCUUGUAGAGCAAAGACCUCAAAAUCCUCCAUUGUUUUCUAGGUGUCUGCUGUAUUCAUUGCUUUUCAGUCACAUAAUUCUUUAGUUCUAGCUGCUUAAAUCUCUUGAGAUGAGCUAUUUAAAUCUAGAUUUUUAGUAUCAUUUGCUUCUUCCUCUGAAGUGCCCUCUCCCUUUACUUGUCCCUCCUGUCCUCAUAGUCAGAAUAGUUUCUGAAUUCAGUGACGCUUUCUACUUGUUCUCUAACACCUCAGCCUGCGACUAAAAGGUGACAAGCAAAAAAAGCAAAAGCUGGAGCUUAAUCAAUGCACAACCUUCAGCAUGCAGAGAGGUGCGCCCUUUGGCUGCAGAGAGGUGAUGCAGGUGACUUCUCAUGCUUUAGCGAGCUGUACAUUCUUUUUUUAUCCCUUCCUGGCACUUCUAUGCCUUCCUCGAGGUAGUUGCUGCACCUGUGAGAGAGUGGCUCUCACUAAUGCAGUCUGCUCUGGCCCUUUUGACCAUUCACAUUUUUUCCCGGAAAGAGUGGGCAGCAUCUGUAUCACAGCCAUGCUAUCACCCUCGACUUCAAAACUCAACACUUGAAAGCCUGAUAUUAAGAUUUUAUUUUUUUCAAUUUGUUUCAGGUGAUGGCCUUCAGGAAUAACUUCCCAGAUUGGGAUUGCCUUUUCUUUUCUGGGCCAUUAGCACAAGGCGGGGUGGAAGAGAGCUGAUGGACUUUCCUCUGUAGAUACUGGUUUAGCUGCUUGUAGAGUUACCCCAAAUCAAAACAUCUGUGAGAUUUCUGUGUCAACUUCUCAGAGGGGGUUGGAUGUAAUAAGUAAAUGAAUUAAUUUUAAUUAAAUCUAAAUCACUGUGGCGUAUAAUAGUUUUAUGAUGACUUCUUUGAGGCUCACCCAUCCUACUGCAGAUUCAGUGCAUCCAGCUCUAAAGUAAGAGCUGGCAGUGUUGAGGCUUCAGAGACACGUCUUCUCCCUGGACCAAAUGGGGCUAUGGAUUCGUGGUUGCUCUCAGAGCACUGAAGUUCCUCUAGGAACUCACUGGAGGCCACGCAGAUGUGAUCUGAGACUGUUGCGUUGCCAAAGCUGCCAAGAUGGCUGUUACUGUCACUGUGUGUGUUGAAAAUCCUGGUUCAUGAGAGUUGUUCAUUCAUAAACCUCGGUGUCAUUUAAUCCACUUAAAGAGUUGCUCCAGUCUAGUGCCUGACUGGGCUAAUUAACACAGAUCAUGCUGCAUGUUCUUUUAGGGGUAGGUCGGAUUGUCUAUGCAUAUAAUCUAACAUUAAUGAAGGUAAUAACAUACCAAAUGGGUUUAAACUGCUGAUUUGACCUCUUUCCCUUCUGUUCGGAGCUUUUCCAGCUGCGUAUCACUUCCAUGUCUGUUACAGAAGGACCGCAGUCAAGACUGGAUUCCAAAACACCCACCACCUACAGACUGUGAAGAUAUAUUGGCAGGGCGAAUGAUUUCUGUUGUCUUGACAGCCCAUCCCAUCCUGUUGUGCUUCAGCCCAGCUGGUGCAGGAAUUUUUCCUGGAAGAGCUUUGCACAUCGAGAGCUCCUUCCCUUCCUGCCGCAGUUCCCCCUCCCACACCUGCAGGAGGACACAUUUUCACCCCGGUUGCUGAGGAUGGAGCCAACGUGUGAGUUGGAGACUGCAGCAGCAGCUGUCGGGGUUCAGCCUUGUUCCAUGUGCUCAUUCACUUUGGGUUUGUUAAGUCCCCAAAUUGCCGUAAAGUGCUCACAAAGGAUUUGUACUUGCUGUGUCAGUCUAAAACCUGAAGGAAAAUACAUUUUUAUUCUUUCUACUUGGGUGCUUCGUCGUCUUUCUUUGUGAAGGCUAUACAAUAAACAGACUAUUUAAUUACUCA